CAAGUCCCUCUCCUCAGGGCUGCUCUCCAGCCAUUCUCCACCUAGCCUGGAUUUGUGCUUGGGGUGGAGCUUGAAAGACCCCACAGGUCCCCCCCUACAGACUCCUGUCCCCAGGCAGCACCUUGUUCCAUCCUCAAGGGUGAUUUGCCCCAGGGUUUCACCCUCUGCUCUCACCACGAUACCGUGGGUCAAACCCACCCCCAUUUCAGGUGGAAAUGGCCCUGUCCUGAAGCAGGACACAGCCCCGUGCUCCUGGAAAACCUGCCUGCCUGAACCCAGGCCAUGGGAUGUCCCGGAGAUCAAAUGCUCCCUCCAUUGCUUCCAGCACCAGCUCCGACAGCGACUCUGCCAGCUGGGAAACCACCCCACAGCAGGUACCACAGCUCAGCACCACCUUCAGGGGUGCAGAUGGAACCCCCCCGCCUCGUUAAGGGGUGUGGGAGGGUUGUUGUCCCCUUUCCAUGUGGGAGAGAGGAGCAACAAGACCAGGAACAUUGGGGAAAACAUCCCAAAAUCCCCCCAAUUCUUUCUUCAUCCACAUCAUUCUCUCCCAUGCCCUCACCAUCUCCUUCCUCCUUUCUCCCCACACUGGGGGGGAUCUUUCCAACCCGUCUCCCCCCAAAAAUUGAGCACCUGGAGGGGCUCAAAGAGCAGGAAGAGCCUCCAGGGGAUGAAGGAGGGCUCACACUCCUCCUCUGCCACAGGCCCCGGGGCUUGCCAGCUCUGUCCCAUGGGCUGGCAGCCCUUCGCAGCCAAGUGCUACUGGGUUUCCACCAAAACCGAAGCCUGGAAGAUGGCGGCAGAAAACUGUCAGCACAAGGGAGCUCAACUGGUCAUACUGGAGAGCCUGGAGGAGAAGGCUUUCAUCGAGGGGAUGACGGGAAAAACCUCCAUGGCCUGGAUGGGACUGAGGAUCCACCAGGGGAGAGAGACCGAGUGGACGUGGGAGGACGGGUCCCCUUUACAGAAAGCCUUGUGAGUGCCCUCCCUGGGGGGGGUCAUGAUAAUCACAUCCCAGGGCAAAUAAUUCCCAGCCCCAUGCUCACCACAGACCUUUGCUGCCCCCCAAAAAUCCCUCCAGAACCAGCACUCACGAGAGCAAAUUAAACCACAGCAAUGUGGGUCUGGUCUCUGCUAAACAGG
rnacentral:lncRNA from 1 species